rnacentral:lncRNA from 1 species
GUGGAAAAGAGGGAACAGCCUGUGCCUGGGAAGGGGAGGAUGUAACCUGGCACUGGGAGGAGACAAGGCAGCCCAGUCCUGCUGGUGCUCAGGGGGCAGGUGGGGAGCAGCACAGGUGAGGCCAGACACCUGUUCAUGCACCAUUACCUGAACUAACUUACUGACACUUCCCCAGAGAAGAGAGGUCUCUGGAGGAAAACAGACCUUUUUAACUACUACAGUGCAAACAGUCCCUGGGGAGGUUUAGCUACACCAGGCUGCCAGCCAGGUACAUUUGUGUAUGCAGAUGACUCUGCUUUGAGGUGUGGGGUUGGGGGGUGCUGAGGGGUGAGGGGAGGGAACGAGGUUUACCUAAAGCACUCAUGAAAACUCGAGGCUGGUCUGAUGUCUUGUCUUGCAGCCUCAGUUUGCAGGGCCUUCCUGUUCGGGGUGAGAGGUGUAAGCAAACAGCCCCCCUUCCCUGUGUCUGCCUUAGAGAAACCAGAGGAGCUCUGCCAGGCCUCAUUGCAUUCUUGGAGGCUCACCAUCUCUUUUUUUUUGGCCUCACCAGGCGUGGGAAACUUCCCUGGCCAGGGGUCGAACCUGAGCCAUGGCAAUGACAAUGCCUAAUCCUUAACCCACUGUGCCACAUGGGAACUCCCUCACCAUCUCCUUUUUAUUCUUCCCAGAUUUUGAAUAGUGGCUUGUCCUGGGUGUGAUGUGAUCUCAGAGCAUUCCCCCAGCCCCUGCCCUCAAGAUUCACCUACAGAAUCCUCACUCCCUGCCGCCUCUUCCCUCCUUCGGGAACCUGGGAUGCACUGGAACCCUGAGAGAUUAACGUGAGGUUAGACAACAGCCAGCAGCCCUCCUAGCUCCCUGCUUGCUCCAUUCUCCUAGACCUCUUUAUUCUCUAAUUCCUCAGGAAACUCAAUUACCUUUGCUUCAUUAUGCAGAGCAAUUUAACUCUCAAACAUCCUUAGGCUCUGGGCCCACCUUUGCAAAUCCAGAAGCUCAUUAAUGUUUCACAGCACUGAGGAGCUGGCAGGAGCUUUGAAAUUUCUCUCUUUUUUUUUUUUCCUCCCCAGGUAUUUCAGAGUGAAAAGGAGCAAUAUCGAGAUUUAUUUUCCCACUAAUGUGAGUUUCACAUCCCCAAACCUCAAUGUCAGAAAGGGAUACAGUCAGUCUGGAUUUUAAGAUUUUUUUUUCUUCCCAUACAUAUUAGAUAAAGAGUCACAUAUUAGAUAAAGAGUCACGUGGAAAUUCCUCUAUCUAGAAUUCCAAAUUAAUGAAACGAUUAGAACAAAUAAAGGAACAGCCCUCAUAACAUGUGAGUGAAUAAGACAGUGUAUUCAGAGGCAUUGUUGUUUUUGUUUUGUCUUUUUGCCUUUUCUAGGGCCGCUUCCUGCGGCAUAUGGAGGUUCCCAGGCUAGGGGUCGAAUCGGAGCUGUAGCCGCCAGCCUACACCACAGCCACAGCAAUGCGGGAUCCUUAACCCACUGAGCAAGGCCAGGGAUUGAACCUGCAACCUCAUGGUUCCUAGUCAGAUCCGUUAACCACUGUGCCACAACGGGAACUCCAGUAUUCAGAGGCAUUGUUAAAAGUGGGGAAAUGAAGGCAGCAGAAGAGGUCGAGGGGUUAUGACCGUGAAUUUAGGAGUUACAGUCGGGUCCCCUCUCCUUCCUAACUCUGUGAAUCGAGGUCAGUCGGUUAACCUAAGAGUUGGCUUCCUUAUUUGUACAGUAGAAGCGAUACCCAUCCCCUUGGGUGGGGCGGGGGAGGGGGGGGCAGUUCCGUGAGGUUUGUAUGAAGAACACUCCUCCGUUCAGCACAUCCAGGACCAGGGGCCCUCAACGCCGUGGCUCUCAUCUCACUAACUCGUGUUCCCUGCACUCCCACACGCUGGUCUGUUUCAUAAGCCAAGCUCAUGGUCACAUCGAUGGCUUUGCCCCUGCCACUGCCCUGGCUAGCAAGCCUCAGCAGACGCUGCUCCUCGCAGGCAGACUCAACCACGCUUCCUUCUUCCUGAGUCCUAGGUCGGGGGUCUGCGAAAAGGCCCGGUCCAGUUAAAAGCAUGCAGCUUUCCAGGCCGCCUUGCCGUAGCUGGGGGACAGUGUUCAGAGCGAAUGUCAGUUGAGGUGUAUGGGCAGGGCUUCUGGGAAAGCUUCUGUUUUCUAGUACGAAGGAACUGACUAGGCUGGCUGCACUUACACCCUUCCCCCGUCUCCGUUCUUCUACCAGAAUGCUGAUUUCCUGCUCAGUGAUAGACUAGCCCUCUGAGUGAGCAGAAGGAGGAAGGACCUACCCCACUGCGGGAAGGGAGCGCAGGUCUGCAGUUGCACUGAGGAACCCCUGUGGGAGGAGGAAUUCCCUGUUUGGAUAAACCAUUUUAUUGGGUAUUCUGUUGUAAGCAGCUAAAUUUAAUUCUGUUAUACAUGCUCUUCUCCCACCACUUGCAAUUUAAAAAAAAAAAAAUUUGUAUGACCAUCUUCUUAUGAUUUGGGGUUCAGGUGAAAAGGACCUCCAAGAAAGCGGUCUUCCCUGGUGCUCCCCUCAGUCGCUCUUCUUUUCUCAUCCCUGUGACAUCACUGUUUUCUCAUCAUAUCAUUAACCUUACCUGAAAUUAUCUCGUUUCUUUGCUUCUUGGUACUGUUCAUGUCCCUUUCUGAAGAAUUAAGCUCUGUUACAGUAAGACCUAGUAUCUCUUGUUCACUGCUCUGUCCGCACAGAGAAUUGUACCUGAUACAAAGUAGAUGCUCAGUAAAUAUUUCAGAAAUGUAUCUAAAGUUAUUAUCCGGAUUAAAGUGCAAUUUUUUGAUGUCGUCAGCAGUUUAUUGGGAAGAGGAAAAAAGUAAAAUAAGUGGAGUUGGACUGAUUACAUAGCUAUAUUUAUAUAGUCUGUGCUUGUGUGUGUAUUUAGAUAAUUCAGAUCAAUAAAUUGGGCACUUAUGUGCUAGAUAUUCUAAGCAUCUUCUUGCUUUUCAUAUUUUUCAACAAAUAGCUUGUGUAAAAUAAGAAAAUAGAAAAAUUUACACCUUACUUUACCUAUACUGGGUAUUUCUAAAAAACAAAAGUAAAGCCAGUUUCCUCUUUUAACCAUUGUAUAUUUGUUUAUUCCAAAAUGUUUGCUUAAAGUGAAAUUUGAGAUGUGUGGGGAACUUUGAGAUAGAACUGCAUUUCUGUCCCAGUGGAAAAUGCUCUUUCGCAUACAUCUCAGUGGCUUUUUGUCAAACGUGCUAUUUUGCAUGUCAAGAUGCUCUUCUUCCCUUACUGUGCAUUUCAAAGGAUGGCUGUACAGAGAAUGAAAUUUUAGUGUCAAACGCAUCAAUUACAACCCAAUGGAGCUAUUUCAUUUUCCACCAAUGAUAGAGAAAGAGAGCCAGGGGAAUAAUGAGUCUAUUUUUACCUUAAAGUUGCAGCAUUCAGGAUAAGACGUUUUCAUGUUAAAAUCAGUCUUACCCUUAAGUGUGAACCAGUGCAAGCUUUAAUAAUUCAUUCUGAAACCUGCGCUUCCCGGGCCAGUGCUCCCUGGCUCUUUACUUUUUUAGAGGUCUGUUUACCUCUCGGUUCGCACCUGCAACUGCCCGUUCAAUCUACUGUGCAUAACCAGUGGAGAAUAAGCCCAUUAACUAGAAUAAUUUAGGCAUCUCAGUUUCCUACAGCCUUCAACGUACUGGGGUCUCACUGGCAACAUAGUUCUUCGGAAAGCUUAUCUUUCAUUUGAACCGUGGGUCCAGAUCCUUAAUGCAGUGAUCAGAAGCAUGUGGUUCAAUGACUCUUGAGAAUUUAGAAGCCCUGUGAUAGAUGGCCUGGUUUGCAAAUUCUCCAAGCAGUUUCACUAGGGAUUGAUAGAGUUCCUGGUCUGAUAUAAUGAAGCACAACAGCAGACUGUAGCAGAAUAUCAACAACAAAAAAAGGGCGGCAAAUUUGUUGGAGCAAAGGAGACGCCUCCAUUCCUUAAGGGUGGGCUACCCAGAUGACCCUAUAAAGGCUAAAGAGCCAUCCUAGUAUUCAAGUAGGCCCUUUGCAUGUAACAAAGAACAUGAUUAAAAGGUACAGUUUGAAAGGGACUGCCUCUCAGCAUCUGUUGCCUUGAUAACUACACAUGAUGUCUCAAUGACUUAGAGCCUGCUUUCGGAAAGCACGAGUUCGUAAGAGAGGGAAUUGCUGCUGUUUCUUGAACCAGGCAGUCUCGUCUCCUAGUGAAGAGCUUGGGCCCUGCAGCAAGAAGACCACGUGCCUCCUCCCAGGCAAGUUGUUGACUCUGUCUCUGGCUCUGUUUCCUCAUCUGGGCCCUGUGGCUAGCCAGAGCUUCCUGAGGUGUGCCUUGCUGCCAAGGCCAAAGCAUGAGCUGCAAACAGGCAAAAAUGUGGAGACUGCGAUGCCGUCUUGGGGGUGGGGGUAGGUAGCCCCUGUGCACUGUCACUGCAGGGGUGCUUGGAGCAGCACUUUUCCUUUGUCUCAUACCUUGUGACGCCUCAGCUUUGUAGCUAUAAAUCCUAAAUUGAAAUCUCCUGCUGUUCCAAGCAGACAUAGGGCAAAAGUUUAAACUUGGCGUGGUCUGCAUAUGAACUUGCCAUCUCUGCCCUCCUAUUUCCUGUACUUCCCUAUGCCCAGUGCCCACGAUGAAUCCGUUCCCCUAGCCAGACACCUGGGUCCUUCCAGGCUCCUUUGUGUCACCCACACGCAGGGUUCAAUCAGCUGUCGGUCAGGUGUGUGUUCUACCUCGUACCUACUAGCCCCUUUUUAGUGUAGCUGAUCCCUACUCACUUUCCAAUUCAGCUCAAAUGCAACCUCUUACAGGGAAGCUGUUCUGUGGCGGUCCCCUUGCAAGCUGACUUGGGGGCUCCCUUUCUUGAAUCUCCAAAACACCCUGUGCAUAUUCUAGAAAACACUUAGAGCAUUCUUUUCUAAACACUGAGUUCCUCCACUAGACUCUAAGCUUUGGCGGGGGGGGGCAGAGAUUAGGUCUUAUUUGACUUUACAUCCCUAACUCUUGGCACAGUGCCUCCCAGGCAUUUGAUGUUUAUUGAAGGAAUCAAAGAAACAGGUCUUUGCCAGGUAACCGUGGCUCAUAACCAUGAUGUAGAACGUAUUUUCAUGGGAAAAUAAAAUAACUUAGGGUUACAAGGGUUACAAGCUUUAGAGUAUUAGCAGGCGGCAUUCUAAACGUUCCUUUUAAGAUUACCAUCUAAACUCUUUUAAAAGUGGAUUCCGCAUGAUGGUAGGUUGCCAGUCCCCUGCCCUGGUCCACAGCAUCCCAGUGGGGACUUUCACCGUCCUUGUCAUGUUGUUUUAUUUCCUUUCACUUUUUUGUUACGCAUUUCUGGGGUUUCUGGAACUAGGGGCAAGGGCUGUUGAUGAAAGGGUCAUAGCUAAAUUUACUUGAAAUGAUGAACAAAUUCAAGGAAGUCUGUUUGCGUGUAGUAAACACAUAAUAGUCGAAAUAGGUAUUUGAAGUUCAAAGCCAAGGCAAACCUCCCAGACCUUAAUAUUAAUUAAAAAAAAUCUUUGGAGUUCUCUUCCUGGCUCAGUGGUUAAUGAACCUGACUAGAAACCAUGAGGUUGUGGGUUUGAUCCCUGGCCUUGCUCAGUGUGUUAAGGAUCUGGUGUUGCCGUGAGCUGUGGUGUAGGUCGCAGACGUGGCUCGGAUCCCACAUUGCUGUGGUGUAGGCCAGCAGCUACAGCUCUGAUUUGACCCCCAGCCUGGGAACCUCCAUAUGCC